GUGCCAGCCGCCGCGGUAAUACGGAGGGUGCAAGCGUUGUUCGGAAUCAUUGGGUGUAAAGCGUGCGCAGGCGGCCUAUUAAGUCUGAUGUGAAAUCCCGAGGCUCAACCUCGGAGGUGCAUUGGAAACUGGUAGGCUUGAGUCCGAGAGAGGUUAGUGGAAUUCGUGGUGUAGGGGUGAAAUCCGUAGAUAUCACGAGGAACACCAGUGGCGAAGGCGACUGACUGGAUCGGUACUGACGCUGAGGCACGAAAGCGUGGGGAGCAAACAGGAUUAGAUAUCCUGGUAGUCCACGCCGUAAACGAUGUUCGCUAGUUGAUGCACCAAUUGAGGGUGCGUUGACGCAGCUAACGCACUAAGUGAACCACCUGGGAGUACGGCCGCAAGGUUAAAACUCAAAGGAAUUGACGGGGGCUCGCACAAGCGGUGGAGCAUGUGGUUUAAUUCGAAGCAACGCGAAGAACCUUACCUGGAUUUGACAUCCCGUGAACCUCGCCUAACAGCGAGGGUGCCCUUCGGGGAGCACGGUGACAGGUGCUGCAUGGCUGUCGUCAGCUCGUGUCGUGAGAUGUUCGGUUAAGUCCGGCAACGAGCGCAACCCCUGUCCUUAGUUGCUACCACGUAAUGGUGGGCACUCUAAGGAGACUGCCGGAGUGAAUUCGGAGGAAGGUGGGGAUGACGUCAAGUCCUCAUGGCCCUUAUAUCCAGGGCUACACACGUGCUACAAUGGCCGGUACAAAGGGCAGCUAACUCGCGAGAGUGUGCCAAUCCCAUAAAGCCGGCCUCAGUUCGGAUUGCAGUCUGCAACUCGACCGCAUGAAGCUGGAAUCGCUAGUAAUCGUGGGUCAGCAUACCACGGUGAAUACGUUCCCGGGCCUUGUACACACCGCCCGUCACACCAUGGAAGUCGUUUGCUCCAGAAGUCGGUGACCCAACUUUUUGAGGGAGCCGCCGAAGGAGUGAACGGUGACUGGGGUGAAGUCGUAACAAGGUAACC
rnacentral:rRNA from 1 species